rnacentral:rRNA from 1 species
UCUAGUUGAUCCAGCUAGGCCUAACUGCUAUUCAGUUGGCACUAAGUCAUGCAAGCUCAAAGUGCUCGGCACUUAGCACCCCGCUCAGUAACAAGUAGGUAAUUUCCCCUUAGCUCGGGUAUACCCACAGGAAACCGUGGUUAAUCCCCGAUACUCGAUUGGUCCUGGAAUGGUCUUUCGGGCAAAGGUCCGCCGGCUAAGGAUAAACCUGCUCCUGAUUAGGCAGAUGGUUGGGUCACGGCCUACCAUACCUACGAUCAGUACGGGCAAUGUAAGUUGUGGCCCGGAGAAAAGUCCUGAGACAUCGACUUUAUCUCUACGGAGAGCAGCAGACGGGCAACCUAUACAAUGCGCGAUAGCGUGAUAUGGCUAACUGAAGUGCCCUUCGGGGCUGUUCCUUAAGCUAAACCCUUAAGGGAGUAAGGAGAGGACAAGGCCGGUGCCAGCACCCGCGGUAAAACCGGCUCUUCAAGUGAUUAGGACGAUUAUUGGGCUUAAAGCGUCCGCAGCUGGGUUUGUAAGUCUUUGGUUAAAUCCUACGACUUCAUCGUAGGGCCGCUAAAGAUACUGCAUUCCUAGGGAAUGGGAUAUGUCGGGGGUACUCUUUCGGGAGCGGUGAAAUGUGUUUAUCGAAAGGGGACCAACCGUGGCGAAAGCGCCCGACAGGAACAUGUCCGACAGUCAGGGACGAAAGCGUGGGGAUCAAAAAGGAUUAGAGACCCUUGUAGUCCACGCCGUAAACGAUGAGGAUUAAAUGUUACUAUGAUCUUGAAUCGUAGUAGUGUUCGUAACGAAAGUGUUAAAUCCUCCGCCUGGGAAGUACGGCGGCAACGCUGAAACUUAAAGGAAUUGACGGGGAUUUACUCCAAACCGUGAAGCGCGCGGUUCAAUCGGACUCAACACCCAGAACCUUACCAGCUGCCUCUUACGAUGAAGGCCAGACUGAUGAUCUUGCCAGAGAAAAGAGAGGGUGGUGCAUGGCCCCCUAAAAUUUGUAUCGUGAGACACCCUGUCAAGUCAGGAAACGAAUGCAACCCGGACCGCUAUUUGCCCAAUCGCGUCCUCGGAUGCGGUUGCACUAUAACGGGACUGCCUCUGUUUAAAGGGGAGGAAGGUCCGGUCCAAGGGAAGUCUGUAUGCCCCUAAACAGCUGGGCCACACGCACGCUGCAAUGGCAGGUACAAUGGGCAUCGCAAACCCGAAAGGGCAAGCCAAUCCCGAAAGCCUGUCUCAGUUGGGAUUCAGGCUUGCAACUCAGCCUGAUGAACGUGGAAUGGUUAGUAAUCGGCGUUCAACAAACGCCGGUGAAUACGGCCAUAAAUCUUGUACACACCGCCCGUCGCUUGAGCCGAGUUAGCAAACAUAGAGGUCCGAUCCUCCGGGUCGGGACGAUAUGUCGGCUGAUAAGGAACAAGAA